AUACGGAGGGGGCUAGCGUUGUUCGGAUUUACUGGGCGUAAAGCGCACGUAGGCGGUUUAUCAAGUUAGGCGUGAAAGCCCCGGGCUCAACCCGGGAACUGCGCUUAUUACUGAUAGACUAGAGUCCGGGAGAGGGUAGCGGAAUUCCCAGUGUAGAGGUGAAAUUCGUAGAUAUUGGGAAGAACACCAGUUGCGAAGGCGGCUACCUGGACCGGUACUGACGCUGAGGUGCGAAAGCGUGGGGAGCAAACAGGAUUAGAAACCCCAGUAGUCC
rnacentral:rRNA from 1 species